rnacentral:rRNA from 1 species
UACAGAGGGGGCAAGCGUUGCUCGGAAUUACUGAGCGUAAAGGGCGCGUAGGCGGAAUGGCAAGUCGGUCGUGAAAUCCUUCGGCUCAACCGAAGAACGUCGAUCGAAACUGCCGUUCUUGAGGAUUGCAGAGGAGACUGGAAUUCCCGGUGUAGCGGUGAAAUGUGUAGAGAUCGGGAGGAGCACCGGUGGCGAAGGCGGCCCACUGGUCCGGUACUGACGCUGAGGUGCGAAAGCGUGGGGAGCAAACAGG